AACACAUGCAAGUCGAGCGGAUGACGGGAGCUUGCUCCUUGAUUCAGCGGCGGACGGGUGAGUAAUGCCUAUUAAUCUGUCUGGUACUGGGGGACAACGUUUCGAAAGGAACGCUAAUACCGCAUACGUCCUACGGGAGAAAGCAGGGGACCUUCGGGCCUUGCGCUAUCAGAUGAGCCUAGGUCGGAUUAGCUAGUUGGUGGGGUAAUGGCUCACCAAGGCGACGAUCCGUAACUGGUCUGAGAGGAUGAUCAGUCACACUGGAACUGAGACACGGUCCACACUCCUACGGGAGGCAGCAGUGGGGAAUAUUGGACAAUGGGCGAAAGCCUGAU
rnacentral:rRNA from 1 species